GACGAAGCGUGCGAACGUUGUUCGGAAUCACUGGGCUUAAAGGGCGCGUAGGCGGGCCAUCAAGUCCGGGGUGAAAUCCUCCAGCUCAACUGGAGAACAGCUUUUGAUACUGGUGGCCUCGAGGGGGGUAGGGGCAUGUGGAACUUCCGGUGGAGCGGUGAAAUGCGUAGAUAUCCGGAGGAACACCGGUGGCGAAGGCGGCUUCCUGGACCGAUUACUGACGCUGAGGCGCGAAAGCUAGGGGAGCAAACGGG
rnacentral:rRNA from 1 species